GAAACAAGUGAGUUAAGGUGGGAAUGAGUACUUCUUUCUUUCUCCUCUUCCGCCAUGAAAUAGCAACUUCUAAAAAAGGGGUGCUGCAGAUGGUGAAGUCUUAAAUUACCACGGUGAGCUUUGCCGGAGGGCGUCUCUGGUCCCCUUAGAUGGAGCCCGUCUGCAGCUGAUUCACAGAAGGUCACGUUUGCCUGUCCUGCCCUACUCCUGAGCUUACUCAUGUAGUCAGCGCGGCUGACAGGGAUGAAAGAGCGGAACUGCUUGAACACAUUUGAUAUGGCUCUAGACAGGCAGACUGAUUUGCAAACUCAAAGCACAGGAGAGACUGAGAGCGAUUGCAGCGGAUUACUAAUUAGCUCGGAAACACAGAGGCGAGGCGUGAGGGAGGAACGUGGCUGCAGCUGAGUGGGGGAUAGUGAAUAAGCAUUUCCCACUCACUCUCUCCACAACAUCUGUGAUAUCGAAUCUAUCACCCCAGUCAUCUCUCUUUUAAAAUAAACAAACAAGCAAAAAUAGAGGCUGUUUGAUUCUCCAUGGAGAGAGCUGCUCCUCACAUAUUAUCACCCCAGUUGCUCUACUUAGUGCAUCCCCGAGUCCAGCAAUUCCACUGAGGAGCAGCAGCAUCACAACCGCAAGCAGAGCUCCAGAUGGCAGCUAUAUGAGGAUCUAUGAAAUGAAAGGUCAAUCUGAAAAGGAACAAACAGCGAGAACAGAGCAAAAGACUGUAGCUGGGAAACAGCCAGAUGGAUCUCAACUCUACCAGCAGCCUAUAACACCACAGCAAGUGACCUCCAAGGGGUCUACUGAGCCUCAUUGAGCAAUGAAAACAUGAUGACCUUGAUCAAAUAUCUCAGCUGUAGUGAACAUCAAAUAACAGUAAUUGCAAAGGUUGACAAUUAUUUGAGGGACAAGAAGUCUGGAGAUUUUGUAUCAGUAGAAUUCUAACAGCUUCAACAGAAUGCUCUUGAUUUAAGUUGGAAUAAUUGAAAAAUUAAUCACAUCUACAUAUCACCAGAAGAAAGGAGAAAUAAACCAUCUUGGAAUUUGUAGUUCACUAUAAUCUGAAGUAGAGAAGUCCUUGGAGAAAUCCAGUCUAAAAUAAUGCCAAACCUCAGCACCGUAUUAGGAAACAUAUCUUUACACUACAGACCAGUUGUUAUUCCAGAGUUGCUUCCUGGUUGAAGCACAACAUGCUUUGUUACUCCAUGCUCACCUGUGUGAAUACAACAGGUUUGGCUACAGAUGAAUGCAUAUAAAGAGUUGGAAGAGAUCACGUUCAGUGCUUUGUCCUUCGUUCUGGUGAGGUGCACUUCUGUUUCCCUACUGAGAGCUCCUAGGCACAUGGAAGCUGUAAGGCCAACCACCUAACCAUAGGAGGGAUGGGAUCGCUGGCAAACAACACAUCCUGCUUCACCUCAAGCACCCUCCACUCUCCAGAAGGUACUUUCCUGCACAUGGCUGAGGAGCUGCUGGAAGACUGAAGGGGCACUCCCUUCAGCUGUGGGGCUGCCCCACCUCCAGUGCUGCUCUUCUGGCACCCAGCUCCUCCCAUGCUCCUUGUGCAGCUGGUGGCCCAGGAAGGAGCCAGCAUUGCCUCAAAUGGAACAGAGAGCAUCAGGCUGUUUUCUCUUUAAAAGAAGAACAAAAACAAAACAAAAACUAGGCUUUCCCCUUUGUUUCUGCCUUCCUGACUCCCUGGUUCAUGUCCUUCAUUAAGGCGUCUUUCUCAGUCAAGUUCUGCAAGGGCCUUCUAGCAAAAAGAGUAAGUAUAUACACAUGCACAUCUAUCUAUAUAUUUGCGCACACACACUUCUAAUAUAUACACACAUAUAAAGAAUAAUGUUUACUCUCAUGCAUAAUACAGUAACAGUGCAAGUGUGUGGAGCAUGGCUGAUUUAUGUACCUAUGCACCAGCCACUCCCUUCAGAUACAGUUGCCAAGAUCCCAAAACAGGGCCUGUUUCCCCAUUGCCAUGGCAACAACAGGUGAGAAGCAGCAUUUCCUAUAAGGAAAGAAAGAGAUGCUGCCAGGCUGAGUAGAGGCCAGGAGCAGGCUGCUCCUUGUGCUCCCUAGGGCAGCCAUCACAUACUGGCUUUGUAGCAGCCAGCACCGUGACCUCACCAGCAGGACCUCAGGCACCAGUGCUCAAGGCUCCCCAGGCCUUGCCCAGUGCAGGCUGGAGGAAAGCAUAGCAGCUGCCUGGGGAGGCUGGCAGGGCUGCAGGGCCACCGGGACCACAAGCAGCUGGCUUAGUGCCUCCCAUCUGCACUGCCUUCACCUGACCCACCUGGAGGAGCUUUGUGAUGUGGGAAGUGGCACACCUGAAAAAAAAAAACAAACACCACAACCAAACAAAACCAAGCAAACAGUUGCCAAGCUUUUGAGCCUACUGUGCCUGGAGGCUGAGUAAGCCUGGUCUUUCUCUGUAAGAACUGGUUUCCUCCCUACCACUUUGGCAGCUAAGAUUAAUGCAUUUUAAACAGCACGUAGGUUCACUUGAGUUAUUUUUUACUUCCUCCUCUUACUUAUGAGAGAAAUCUGACCACGGUAACAGGAAAUUUAAAACAUCAUAUUAGCUUUGCUUUGAGGCACGUGCACAAACCUAAAGCCUGGGUAAAUAAUGAAUAAAAUCUCAGCCACUCUCUGUUAUUCCAACCCACUUCUGCAUCCUUGAGAGUCUGAUCAUCACUAUAACAGCAUUAAAACGAAACUGAUUGUGACUGGAUAUAAAUACCUGGUCUUAAACAUAAGCUUUUCUUCCUUAAGUGAACAUAUCUGGGUGUGGAUGAUCUGCUAUUAGUGGGCAAAAUGGGUGGUGAAGUGAGAAAAUGCAUUCUCACAGCUAUCUUAGACAUCACUGCAGAGAAAGCCUUCAUAAUAAGGUGUGGUAUACAGAAGAAUGUCCAAAGCAUGGCAGCUAUCUGAUGACUAAAAGCAUAUUACGUGCUCAAAGCAGAUCAGCAUCAACACACCGCCUGUUCCUGUCCAUCCUCCCUUAGAACUUGUUAGUGCUUCCACUGAGGUGCACAGAAGCUCAGCCCUUGCCCACAGGGAGCCCACCCAGAAGAGACAAAGUUAGCUUUGAACAACUUGGUACCAACAAAUUCAGCUGCGCAUUACAGAUCUAAGGGAAACCGAGCUUCAUUUUCUCCAUCACUUUGCAGAUUUGUUUGCUUGUUUCCCUUUCCAAGCAUCUGUAUUUAUUCCUUACUUAGUUAAGGACACUGCCUUGUUUUCUUGUCUCUUUCUCCAUGCUCUUCUAACCCUUCAAGGUCCUUCAGCAUCCUCCUGAUCUCCUGCAGCCCUGUCUCUUGCCUCCCAUGGGGCUCUUGCC
ensembl:lncRNA